AUUGAACGCUGGCGGCAGGCCUAACACAUGCAAGUCGAGCGGUAGCACGGGGGAGCUUGCUCCCUGGGUGACGAGCGGCGGACGGGUGAGUAAUGUCUGGGAAACUGCCUGAUGGAGGGGGAUAACUACUGGAAACGGUAGCUAAUACCGCAUAAUGUCGCAAGACCAAAGAGGGGACCUUCGGGCCUCUUGCCAUCAGAUGUGCCCAGAUGGGAUUAGCUAGUAGGUGGGGUAAUGGCUCACCUAGGCGACGAUCCCUAGCUGGUCUGAGAGGAUGACCAGCCACACUGGAACUGAGACACGGUCCAGACUCCCACGGGAGGCAGCAGUGGGGAAUAUUGCACAAUGGGCGCAAGCCUGAUGCAGCCAUGCCGCGUGUAUGAAGAAGGCCUUCGGGUUGUAAAGUAUUUUCAGCGAGGAGGAAGGCAUUAAGGUUAAUAACCUUGGUGAUUGACGUUACUCGCAGAAGAAGCACCGGCUAACUCCGAGCCAGCAGCCGCCGUAACAC
rnacentral:rRNA from 1 species